rnacentral:lncRNA from 1 species
CCUGUUCCUGAGGACUCCCUUAAACAUUAAAAAAUACUUCUUUCUUUGGCGGAGUGUUUAUAUAAAUGAAUCAGAGCAUUUUAAAUAUUGCAGUAUUCCUUACAAAAGUUUCAUUGAUUUGAUUCUAUUCACAGACUGUUCGUGAUAUUUCGUGUGUUUUAGCUACAAACAUUUAUCUAAGAAAACAGCUCCUUGAACACAGUGAGCUGGCUUUUCACACAUUGCAGUUGUUAGCGUUUACUGCCCUUGCCAUUUUAAUUAUGAGGCUAAAGAUGUUUUUGACGCUGCACAUGUGUGUUAUGGCUUCCUUGAUAUGCUCUCGAC